rnacentral:rRNA from 1 species
GAUGAACGCUAGCGGGAGGCCUAACACAUGCAAGCCGAGCGGUAUUGUUUCUUCGGAAAUGAGAGAGCGGCGUACGGGUGCGGAACACGUGUGCAACCUGCCUUUAUCUGGGGGAUAGCCUUUCGAAAGGAAGAUUAAUACUCCAUAACAUAUUGAUUGGCAUCAAUUAAUAUUGAAAGCUCCGGCGGAUAGAGAUGGGCACGCGCAAGAUUAGCUAGUUGGUGAGGUAACGGCUCACCAAGGCGAUGAUCUUUAGGGGGCCUGAGAGGGUGAUCCCCCACACUGGUACUGGGACACGGACCAGACUCCUACGGGAGGCAGCAGUGAGGAAUAUUGGUCAAUGGGUGCAAGCCUGAACCAGCCAUCCCGCGUGAAGGACGACUGCCCUAUGGGUUGUAAACUUCUUUUGUAUAGGGAUAAACCUACCCUCGUGAGGGUAGCUGAAGGUACUAUACGAAUAAGCACCGGCUAACUCCGUGCCAGCAGCCGCGGUAAUACGGAGGGUGCAAGCGUUAUCCGGAUUUAUUGGGUUUAAAGGGUCCGUAGGCGGACUUAUAAGUCAGUGGUGAAAGCCUGUCGCUUAACGAUAGAACUGCCAUUGAUACUGUAAGUCUUGAGUAUAUUUGAGGUAGCUGGAAUAAGUAGUGUAGCGGUGAAAUGCAUAGAUAUUACUUAGAACACCAAUUGCGAAGGCAGGUUACCAAGAUAUAACUGACGCUGAGGGACGAAAGCGUGGGGAGCGAACAGGAUUAGAUACCCUGGUAGUCCACGCCGUAAACGAUGCUAACUCGUUUUUGGGCUUUAGGGUUCAGAGACCAAGCGAAAGUGAUAAGUUAGCCACCUGGGGAGUACGCUCGCAAGAGCGAAACUCAAAGGAAUUGACGGGGGCCCGCACAAGCGGUGGAUUAUGUGGUUUAAUUCGAUGAUACGCGAGGAACCUUACCAAGACUUAAAUGGGAAUUGACAGCUUUAGAAAUAGAGCUUUCUUCGGACAAUUUUCAAGGUGCUGCAUGGUUGUCGUCAGCUCGUGCCGUGAGGUGUUAGGUUAAGUCCUGCAACGAGCGCAACCCCUGUCACUAGUUGCCAUCAUUCAGUUGGGGACUCUAGUGAGACUGCCUACGCAAGUAGAGAGGAAGGUGGGGAUGACGUCAAAUCAUCACGGCCCUUACGUCUUGGGCCACACACGUAAUACAAUGGCCGGUACAGAGGGCAGCUACACAGCGAUGUGAUGCAAAUCUCGAAAGCCGGUCUCAGUUCGGAUUGGAGUCUGCAACUCGACUCUAUGAAGCUGGAAUCGCUAGUAAUCGCGCAUCAGCCAUGGCGCGGUGAAUACGUUCCCGGGCCU